rnacentral:tRNA from 1 species
ACUUUUAAAGGAAACUAGCAACCCAU